CAAUGGGGAAUUUUGGCAAUGGGGGAAACCCUGAUCCAGCCAUCCCGCGUGUAUGAUGAAGGCCUUCGGGUUGUAAAGUACUUUUGGCAGAGAAGAAAAGGUAUCUCCUAAUACGAGAUACUGCUGACGGUAUCUGCAGAAUAAGCACCGGCUAACUACGUGCCAGCAGCCGCGGUAAUACGUAGGGUGCAAGCGUUAAUCGGAAUUACUGGGCGUAAAGCGUGUGUAGGCGGUUCGGAAAGAAAGANGUGAAAUCCCAGGGCUCAACCUUGGAACUGCAUUUUUAACUGCCGAGCUAGAGUAUGUCAGAGGGGGGUAGAAUUCCACGUGUAGCAGUGAAAUGCGUAGAUAUGUGGAGGAAUACCGAUGGCGAAGGCAGCCCCCUGGGAUAAUACUGACGCUCANACACGAAAGCGUGGGGAGCAACAGGAUAGAUACCCUGGUAGUCCCNCCCUAACGAUGUCAACUAGCUGUGGGGCCGUAGGCCUUAGUAGCCCACCUAACCCGUGAAUUGACCGCCUGGGGAGUACGGUCGCAAGAUUAAAACUCAAAGGAAUUGACGGGGACCCGCACAAGCGGUGGAUGAUGUGGAUUAAUUCGAUGCAACGCGAAAAACCUUACCUACCCUUGACAUGUCUGGAAUGCCGAAGAGAUUUGGCAGUGCUCGCAAGAGAACCGGAACACAGGUGCUGCAUGGCUGUCGUCAGCUCGUGUCGUGAGAUGUUGGGUUAAGUCCCGCAACGAGCGCAACCCUUGUCAUUAGUUGCUACGCAAGAGCACUCUAAUGAGACUGCCGGUGACAAACCGGAGGAAGGUGGGGAUGACGUCAAGUCCUCAUGGCCCUUAUGGGUAGGGCUUCACACGUCAUACAAUGGUCGGGACAGAGGGUCGCCAACCCGCGAGGGGGAGCCAAUCUCAGAAACCCGAUCGUAGUCCGGAUCGCAGUCUGCAACUCGACUGCGUGAAGUCGGAAUCGCUAGUAAUCGCGGAUCAGAAU
rnacentral:rRNA from 1 species